UACGAACCGUCCAAACGUUAUUCGGAAUCACUGGGCUUAAAGGGUGCGUAGGCGGCCUGUUAAGUUGGGUGUGAAAUCCCUCGGCUCAACCGAGGAAUUGCGCCCAAUACUGGCGGGCUUGAGGGAGAUAGAGGUGAGCGGAACUUAGGGUGGAGCGGUGAAAUGCGUUGAUAUCCUAAGGAACACCGGUGGCGAAAGCGGCUCACUGGGUCUCUUCUGACGCUGAGGCACGAAAGCUAGGGUAGCGAAGAGG
rnacentral:rRNA from 1 species